UACGAAGGGGGCUAGCGUUGUUCGGAUUUACUGGGCGUAAAGCGCACGUAGGCGGCUUUGUAAGUUAGAGGUGAAAGCCCGGGGCUCAACUCCGGAACUGCCUUUAAGACUGCAUCGCUUGAAUCCAGGAGAGGUGAGUGGAAUUCCGAGUGUAGAGGUGAAAUUCGUAGAUAUUCGGAAGAACACCAGUGGCGAAGGCGGCUCACUGGACUGGUAUUGACGCUGAGGUGCGAAAGCGUGGGGAGCAAACAGG
rnacentral:rRNA from 1 species